rnacentral:rRNA from 1 species
UAUUUUGACUAUACAAAGGUAUUGUAAUAAGAUUUUAAUUGAAUGCUAAAAGAAUGGAAAUUUAAAAAAAAACUUUUUUAAAAAUAAAAAUUGAAUUUUUUUUAAUUUGUGCAAAAACAAUUAUUAUUAUUAAAGACAAGAAGACCCUAAGAAUUUAUGAUUUUGUAAUUAAAAUUUUUUUUUAAAAAAUCUUGAUUGGGGCGAUCAAAAAAUAUUAAUAACUUUUUAAAUUUAAAUUGAUCUAUUAUUAAUAAACUAAUGAAUUAAAUA